CGUGAAAUCGCUUAGAAGGAAACGGACGGAGCUGAAAAGUCGACUGUCAGAUUCAGUUUUCCAUUUGCUUCGGCAAUAGGAGAAUGCACUUCUGGCAGUUGAGCGCUACGACCAAUUUGUUCGCUGGCAAAGUAUGGUUCAAUGCCGACUGGAUCUUUGAUUCAGUGACCCAUGAACCGUUACUGUCCGUGUCGGAUAGAUUGGAGACAACCGCGUACGCCUGCUGGUACCUCGGGAAGCUUGUCGGGUUGACUGUUGAGUUCUAAUUGCAGAGCUUGACGACUACUGUUCGAGUGUUCCCCUGGUUAAAGCAAACACGUGAGAGUCUGUGGCGUCCAAGUCAGCCACCCGUCCGACCCGUCUUGAAACACGGACCAAGGAGUCUAACAUGUGCGCAAGUCAUUGAGUGGUAAACUCAAAGGCGAAAUGAAAGUAAAGGCUAGUGUCGCUAGCUAAGGUGAGAUCCUAAGUUACUUGGGCGCAUCACCGUCCCGUCCUAUGGGUAUUGUCCCUUGGGUGGAGAAAGAGCGUACAUGUUGGGACCCGAAAGAUGGUGAACUAUGCUUGAGCAGGAUGAAGCCAGAGGAAACUCUGGUGGAGGUCCGCAGCGGUUCUGACGUGCAAAUCG
rnacentral:rRNA from 1 species